GUUCUCGGCUUGGUCUCGGCGGGGUCGCCUUCCGCUCGCACUUUGGGUAUAGAUCCAGCUGAAGCCUGGGGGGAGGCGCUUAGCAGCACUUCCCGGGGGACCGGGGUAGCGGGGAGCAGAGUUGGCCGAGGAAGUGAUAGGAGGGAGAGGAGGUUGACAAACUUUAAGGGGGUGGGGGGAGCAGUGUGCGGCGUUCUUCAGUCCCCCAGGGCCGCCC
ensembl:misc_RNA predicted gene, 27893